rnacentral:rRNA from 1 species
AUGGAGGGAGCUAGCGUUGUUCGGAAUUACUGGGCGUAAAGCGCACGUAGGCGGCUUUGUAAGUCAGAGGUGAAAGCCUGGAGCUCAACUCCAGAACUGCCUUUGAGACUGCAUCGCUUGAAUCCAGGAGAGGUGAGUGGAAUUCCGAGUGUAGAGCUGAAAUUCGUAGAUAUUCGGAAGAACUCCAGUGGCGAGGGCGGCUCACUGGACUGGUAUUGACGCUGAUGUUCGAAAGCUUAGGGAGCAAACAG